rnacentral:rRNA from 1 species
UACGUAGGGCGCGAGCGUUGUCCGGAAUUAUUGGGCGUAAAGAGCUCGUAGGCGGCCUGUUGCGUCCGCUGUGAAAUCCCGGGGCUUAACCCCGGGCUUGCAGUGGAUACGGGCAGGCUGGAGGCAGGCAGGGGAGAACGGAAUUCCCGGUGUAGCGGUGAAAUGCACAGAUAUCGGGAGGAACACCGGUGGCGAAGGCGGUUCUCUGGGCCUGUACUGACGCUGAGGAGCGAAAGCGUGGGGAGCGAACAGG